rnacentral:rRNA from 1 species
UACGAGGGGGGGCGAGCGUUGUUCGGAAUUAUUGGGCGUAAAGGGUGCGUAGGCGGUUUGGUAAGUCUUAUGUGAAAUCUACAGGCUCAACUUGUAGUCUGCAUGAGAAACUGCCGGGCUUAGUGUGGGAGAGGUGAGUGGAAUUCCUGGUGUAGCGGUGAAAUGCGCAGAUAUCAGGAGGAACACCAAUGGCGAAGGCAGCACUCUGGGACGGGUACUGACGCUGAGACGCGAAAGCGUGGGGGAGCAAACAGG